UGAUUAUUGAUACAUCCUAUCGAUGACAUCGCUCGGAAGUUAGCAGCGAUUGUAAUUGGAACAUGAGCCCUUUUACCAGUCUGAAGUUAUCCGCCAGUGUUUACAUAACAGUGCCACGAUCUACGACUUGAGUGUUGUUUACUUUUACUUUUACGCUUUCUCCAACCAAAUAACAUUUUAAAAAUCUCACCAAAAUAAAUGAACAAAAAAAUAAACAAUGAAUACUAUUUUAGAAAGUACAGAACUUUAUAUCGACACAUUUACU